rnacentral:ribozyme from 14 species
CUUUCCAACAUUUUAUUUUCUUCUUACUUUCGUUCUUCAUCUUGCUCUCUCACACACAGAGAGAAAGAAAGACUUGAUUUGUGAGAUGUGUCAAAGAACAGCAAGGAAGAAUUGCACU